AUGGAUUCCAUCAAGAUUAACCUCGCCGUCGACAAGUCGCGCAACCGCGUGCUGUUCGCCGACGCGGGCUCCGACUUGGUCGACGUCCUCCUCAGCUUCCUCACGCUUCCGCUGUCCGCGAUCCAGUUCUGCGUGGCGCCGUCGCCGGGGUGCCUCUCCAACCUCUGCGACAGCGUCAGACGCCUCGCGGGAGGCAAGCUGCUUAAGGUUGACGCCUGCCAUGGCAUGCUUCUCACGCCGUCGACCGCCCAUGAGUUUGGUGGCCGGCUCAGGUACAAUCUUUGCUUCGCCCACGAUGCGUCCGUCAAGAGCCAGCCGAACCUGAAGGUGAACGGCAAUCUCUGUAGCUGUUGGAAAGUCAUGGACAGACUUGCGCGUGCGUACAGUGGGGCAAGCUCUUCGCCCGGUAAGUUCGUGAGGUGCAAAGAACGGUUUGUGAUCAGCGAUGACUGGACGAUCACGCCGGCAUGCACUUCGCUGAUUCACAGGUUCAGCUCUGAAUCUGAGGCCGCCUUCCCCGGGUUUGAGGAGGUGGAAGUGUGUGUCAGCUGGCCCAAGGUUAUAUCCUUGCUGAAGGCCUCUCUGUCGUCGGAUACCAUAUUCACCGAUGUUUUUCUACCCAUGGGAACCGGUGGUCAGGAUGCUCGUGCCACUAUGAAACCGAGCAUCAACCAGAAAAUCGCGGUAACUCUCUAUGAAGACCCGGGAACUUCAUCAGAAUUCAAGACCAAGUUUUUUUACGACGCCAAGGAGAAGAAGGUCAUGUAUGCUGAAUGCAAGCAUGAUUUCGUGGAUCUGCUUCUCGGUUUCUUGGCUUACCCACUGGGCUGUGUGAUCAAGAACAUGAACGACAGUGGCCUCGCCUCUCCUCUCGGCACCGGCGGCAUGGCCAAUCUGUACGCCAGCGUCGUCGAGCUCGACGCGGCAGGCUUCAUAGCAGGUGGGUACCCCGCUGAGACGUUGCUGAAUCCACCCCUUAGCCCGUUCUGCAGGCAUCCUGACUGCUCCGCUCCCAAAAAAGACGCCGUGGAACCAAAGAACUUCAUGGGUCUAGUAUCCCAUAGCUCGUGUGUUGGCUGUUGUUAUGACCUUGUCGAAGACCGAAAGUACGUGGUAGACGAUGAUCUGCUAGUGCACCAGGCCUCCGCGAUGUCUGUGACGAAGCACUGGCGUGGCAGAGACAAGGCAAACGUGGUGGAGAUGGACAUUGACAUCACGAAACAAGAGGCUGUUGUGCUGCUGCGGGCCAUGCUUACCUCCAAGACACCGCUGACAGACGUGUUCAUCGGUAGGCUGGAGGAACAUUCAACUUGA
rnacentral:rRNA from 1 species